CCCAGCUUGAGCAUCACAAUGGCCGGGUCCUGGUCAAUCUCCCCAGGCUGGGAUAACUCUAUGGUGUUUUUAGUGAGCUCUUUGUUUACUCCAUGUGUGGUCCUGUUGGAGUUACGUCUCUGUGAGCUAAGGAGGACCUGGGCUUGUGGUGAAGGCUUUUCGAUAUUCCCCAGUUCUCCUCCACUGCUUGAGUCUCCUCUGAAUGGCGAG
rnacentral:lncRNA from 1 species